GAUUCCCAGAGAUGUUCUUGUUGAAGUAGCAGAUAGCCUAACUUGAGAUGAACAUUUAUUUCGUGGGUUGAUUUUCUAAUUUUACAUCUAUUUUUUAAAAGACGAGGGGUUAUACUUAAAUACACCAAAACAUAUAAUUUUUAGAGGUUUAUAGAAAUAUACCCAAAAUAAAAACAUCGGACAUCUCAGAUUUCAGAAUCAUCCCCAAAAAAUUCCAAACGGGAAAACCUAGCUACAACGGCUCAAAUCAAAACUUCUUCGUUUAUUCAGAUCUUGUUUCUGCAGACGCUUCUGUAGCAUGUGAGUUCUUCGUUUCUUCUUCCUUCGUAUAUUUUUAUGCACUGUGUUUCGAUCAAUGCCUUUCUUCUCCAGUCUUAAGUACAAACAGAGUCCAUCGUCGUCAGUCGUUCGUCGAUGUGAUUUAUAGCCUGCAUUAUUUUGAGUUUCUUUUCCUCCUUCCUCUAGUCAUUCGGAGAAUGCAGAUCCACCAAUCAACGAAUUAGUCAGUCUUCCAGAUUUUUUUUUAAAACUAAUAUAUUCAUAAAAAUAGGAGUUAGCCGGCCCAUUUUAGAUUUAUGACUUAGUGUAAAAAAAUUAUAAUUUAGGGCUUUAGGUUUUAGAAUUAAGGGUAAAAAAAUUAAAAAUCGGGAUCCUUCUGCACUUCAAUCUGGAUCCUUAGGAGUUAGCCGGCGUUUCUUCUUUUUCUUCUACUGCUUCCUUCUGUCUCUUGGCGAUUUCUCUUCCAGCCUACCUUCUUUGGCCACUGAUUAACACUUCCUGCCGAAAAUAUUGGGGUUCGAUUCCUCUUUAUUGAUGUUCAGUACUAGAAUCUAUGCCUUGCGUUUUUUAUUGAAUUCAUUUUUCAAGAAUACAUUGCAUGAUCCACAUUGUCUUUUACCCCAAACUUAUAAUUUUUAAUUUCUUAUCUUGUGAACUUGAUAUAUAUAUAUUUCGAA
rnacentral:lncRNA from 1 species